rnacentral:rRNA from 1 species
GAGGAAUAUUGGUCAAUGGAUGGAAAUCUGAACCAGCCAAGUAGCGUGCAGGAUGACGGCCCUAUGGGUUGUAAACUGCUUUUAUGUGAGAAUAAAGUUAGGUAUGUAUACUUAUUUGCAUGUAUCACAUGAAUAAGGACCGGCUAAUUCCGUGCCAGCAGCCGCGGUAAUACGGAAGGUCCAGGCGUUAUCCGGAUUUAUUGGGUUUAAAGGGUGCGUAGGCCGUUUGAUAAGCGUGCUGUGAAAUAUAGUGGCUCAACCUCUAUCGUGCAGCGCGAACUGUCGAACUUGAGUGCGUAGUAGGUAGGCGGAAUUCGUGGUGUAGCGGUGAAAUGCUUAGAUAUCACGAAGAACUCCGAUUGCGAAGGCAGCUUACCGUAACGUUACUGACGCUUAAGCACGAAGGUGCGGGUAUCGAACAGGAUUAGAUACCCUGGUAGUCCGCACAGUAAACGAUGGAUGCUCGCUGUUGGCCUUUAUGGUCAGUGGCUUAGCGAAAGCGUUAAGCAUCCCACCUGGGGAGUACGCCGGCAACGGUG